rnacentral:piRNA from 4 species
UGAUUCUUUAUUGAAUUUCCGAAGAAU